GAAGCUCCAACCACUACCGCCCCACAAUACCUACAUCAAUGGAUAGAGCUCCUCAAGACCUAGCUAUUGAUGCCAAUUUUACCCUGAAAAUCCGGCGAUCAAAAUCCGGCCAAAUUCCGGCGACCUCCCCGAACCCCCUCUUUGGGCAUACCAUCAUUUUUUCGGCCACUUGAAUUAUAAAAUGGUAAUUUUCGGACCAUGUAAACUCAUAAAAUCGAGUUGGAAUGAAAGAUAAUGACGCUGGGAAAUAUUAGUAGCUUCAUCCUUCUAUUGUAAUUCAUUUUUAUAUGCUCUUGAAUGUUUGAUAAUGUUAUAACGAUAUGUUAGUUAAUUAAAUUGUGUUAAGCAUCUUUAAUUA